rnacentral:rRNA from 1 species
AACGAACGCUGGCGGCAGGCUUAACACAUGCAAGUCGAACGAGAUCUUCGGAUCUAGUGGCAGACGGGUGAGGAACACGUGGGAACAGCCCUUUCAGUUCGGAAUAACGUUGGGAAACUAACGCUAAUACCGGAUACGUCCUUCGGGAGAAAGAUUUAUCGCUGAAAGAUUGGCCCGCGUCUGAUUAGCUAGUUGGUGAGGUAAUGGCUCACCAAGGCUACGAUCAGUAGCUGAUCUGAGAGGAUGAUCAGCCACAUUGGGACUGAGACACGGCCCAAACUCCUACGGGAGGCAGCAGUGGAGAAUAUUGGACAAUGGGCGCAAGCCUGAUCCAGCCAUGCCGCGUGAGUGAUGAAGGCCUUCGGGUUGUAAAGCUCUUUUAUCCGGGAAGAUAAUGACUGUACCGGAAGAAUAAGCCCCGGCAAACUUCGUGCCAGCAGCCGCAGUAA